GCACCAGAAGCCGAAGCGGACGAAGCGCGGAACUGCAAAUUCCGUCAUAGGGGGUUCGAGUCCCUCCUGGUGCUCCA
rnacentral:tRNA from 1 species